GAGGGAUGGAGGAUUCCUUGGUCAUCGGAGGUUCCCUUACCUGUUCAUUUCCAGACCUUUUCACGUCUGUGACUCCUUUCCCCUUGUUUCAAGGAAGUAGGAUUUUUGUGAAGGAAGGGUGACCGCCCUGUAAUCGGGGUUCGGGUCGCUUUCCUUUCCCCCUCUUGGCAUUGGCCCUCUUCAUGCCAAAGUGAGCUCCCUGUAACUAGGGUGUGCAACUUUCCCAAGCUUACUCGCCCAUUUGAAAGCUAGUUGUAGAAAGCAGCCUCUUUGCAGAGUUAGGGGUUUGUCCUUCUAGCUCUCCUGUCGCCGUGCCCUACUCACACGCACAACCAAGUCCAAACCGAGCGAACUCUGCAUCCCGCUGGCCCUCACUGCUGCUGCUGCUGCAAGGUUUCCUGCUCUACGCCACAGCAACUCAGAAGAGAAAACGGAGAAGAGGACAGAAGUACCAAAGAAACGGCAGGAAAAGACAAUGGAAGCAGAAGCCACAGAAAAGGGACACACACCUUGCACGCAUGGGCCUCCCUGCAAUGAGGACACGGGAUUUCCACUUAAGCUUCAUUCCCCCUUGAGGUGCCAGGUAAAAGGACCUCCCUGUAAACGGGGAUCAAGGUCCACCC